rnacentral:sRNA from 1 species
CCUGGGUUCCGUUUAGCUCAAUCCCUUUUUAGGAAAGACUCCGUGGCUC